rnacentral:rRNA from 1 species
CACGUAGGGCGCGAGCGUUGUCCGGAAUUAUUGGGCGUAAAGAGCUCGUAGGCGGCCUGUUGCGUCCGCUGUGAAAGCCCGGGGCUUAACCCCGGGUCGGCAGUGGAUACGGGCAGUCUAGAGGUAGGUAGGGGAGAAUGGAAUUCCUGGUGUAGCGGUGAAAUGCGCAGAUAUCAGGAGGAACACCGGUGGCGAAGGCGGGACUCUGGGCCGAUACUGACGCUGAGGAGCGAAAGCGUGGGGAGCGAACAGG